AAAACCGCGUGGAAAAGGAAAAGUACCCGCCUCUGAGACGCACAGAGAGCCGCCAUUUAGGUGCAAGGCGGACGGGAGGAGCCGGGGAACAUCACCUUGGAGCAGAGGGCUGAAAUAAAAGUAGGCCUCUCCGGACGCCCCCGUUACCGGGCAGAACUUGAGUGGCCGAACUAUGUCCGGCAAGAAGAGUGGUACCGCAGAGGUUUUCUUUCGCCUUUGUCUCUUUA
rnacentral:ncRNA from 1 species